GGAAAGAUGUCCGAGUGGUCGAAGGUGUCAGACUCGAAAUCUGAUGUAGUCUCAUAGGCUACCGAGGGUUCGAAUCCCUCUCUUUCCG
rnacentral:tRNA from 1 species